GUUUUCUGGAGAGUCCAGACUGUAGACUGGAGACUCUGGAGUGGAGGUGAUAAACAGGAGGGUGUGUGAGGUGAGAGGAUGAGCUGUGUCCUGAUGAUCCAGAGGCUGAAGCAGCAGCAGCUUGUGUGGACAGAGACUCUGACUGCAGAUAAAUGCUGAUGUUGAUCAAGAAGUGAGCAGCUCAGUCACAAACAUGAGCUUAAACUCACACAUUAUUCUCCCAGUGAUGCAGCCAGUGUUCAGUUCUACUGACUCUGAUACAGUGGUGUGAAAAAGAGUUUGGAUCCUUCAGGAUUUAUUAGUUUUACUGUUUGUCACCUAAAUGUUUUAGAUCAUUGAACAAAUUUAAAUAAGAGACAAAGAACACAAGUAAACACAAGAUGCAGUUUUUAUUAUUAAAGGAAAUAAAUCCAAUACUAUAUAA